UCUAACGGGAGGCAGCAGUGGGGAAUAUUGCGCAAUGGGCGGAAGCCUGACGCAGCAACGCCGCGUGCGGGAGGAAGGCCUUCGGGUCGUAAACCGCUUUCAGGGGGGACGAAGCCACCUGGGUUAAUAGCCUAAGGGGUGACGGUACUCCCAGAAGAAGCCCCGGCUAACUACGUGCCAGCAGCCGCGGUAAUACGUAGGGGGCGAGCGUUGUCCGGAAUCAUUGGGCGUAAAGAGCGUGUAGGCGGCUUGGAAAGUCUUACGUGAAAGCCUGCGGCUCAACCGCAGAAGUGCGUAGGAAACUUCCUCGCUAGAGUCCGGAAGAGGAGAGCGGAAUUCCUGGUGUAGCGGUGGAAUGCGCAGAUAUCAGGAGGAACACCCGUGGCGAAGGCGGCUCUCUGGGACGGUACUGACGCUGAGACGCGAAAGCGUGGGGAGCGAACAGGAUUAGAUACCAUGGUAGUCCACGCCGUAAACGAUGGGCGCUAGGUGUGGGAGGUGUCAACUCCUUCCGUGCCGAAGCUAACGCAUUAAGCGCCCCGCCUGGGGAGUACGGUCGCAAGACUAAAACUCAAAGGAAUUGACG
rnacentral:rRNA from 1 species